AUUAAUGUGAGGAGCGAACCAGUCAGGGCAUCGAGACGAAACACGGAAAGUCGUCGAUGUCCUUUCUG
rnacentral:sRNA from 1 species